GAGAAUGUGACAUGCUUAGUGACCAAAUACAGUUAAGCUGAAAGGCAAGGUAGGGCUACCAACUCUUCAUUCUGUGUGAUAUGAAGGGACAUUUUACCAGCUAUGCCCCACGUCUCUGAUUCAUGAAAGUUGCUGUAUAUUGCUUUCCAAAGCUCAUUUUUUUUCAGUGGACUUCUCAGGUGUAGGCAGCUUGGGAUGGAAUAUCCCCUAUAAUAUUCCCCAAAGUUUGUCAUUAGCAAAAGGCUGAUCCCAAAAGAUGCAUGGCAUCCAGUCAGUAAAGUAAUGAAUUCUGUGGGCUUUCCAAGGGAUGUCAGCAGAAGUUAUACCAUUAAUCUGCAGAAACCACUCCCCUGUGCUUAUGAAUCACUGCAGCAUCACUAGCUUAAAGCCAUAGGGAGCACAUGCUGGAGAGCAUCAUUGUAUGCAAGGGAGGACAGAAAGAAGCUUGAUAAGAACCUGAGGUGUGAGAGUAAUACAGGGGGAGAAAAAAAAGUAGUUCUAUACCUACCUGAUCAUUCCUGCUUCUUCCAGUGUGCAGCUUUCCAGCUAUAUCCCCAAUCAGCUCCUGAGGACAAGAGAAUAACUUCUGUCAGUGUCUCUGUAUUGCAAGCAAAAGAGUUACUGUAAGAGCAGACCUCCUCCUAGCUCUAGGAUCCAUGACUGUCUCCACAUCUCUGCCAAUCCCUGCUGAAACAGCGUGUCUGAGAGGCCAGCAAGAGAAAGCCUACAGAGAAGUGAAGAUAGUAGAUAAUUACUGAGAGUCAGCCAGCAAUGCCAGCUUGUUUUCAAGUCCUCUGCCCCCAGCUGGCUUGGCCUGUGUCACACAGAAAGAAGAGCUUUCCUGAAAACAUGCAACUCCUGUUCUUUGGAGCAAACCAGAGCUGAAGGUGGUUUAAUGAUGAAUGAGGAGGAGCUGUGGGUUGACCUGCUGACCACAUUCUGCUUAAGACUAAGUAUGUUCCACUGCCCUCCUGCUGCCCAGUAAGAGUUCUUUUGCCAGGAAGGAGAGAGUUCAUUCACACCAGUGACCAGCCUCAGAAGGGCUGAGGAAUCCCAGCUCAAUUUUGUCCCUCGAAAGCAAUACGCAACACAGGAUUUUCAGUGAACUACAAUACACCACAGUGUUUAUUAACUCUGGAUUAGUGUGAUAAGCACAACGCUGCAGCCACGGGAUAUGUCCCCACACUCUAAGCUUGCUCCUUCUGCUUCUUCAGCAGCUCCCUCAGCUGCUCGAUCUGGGCAGUCACGCUGCUCUUGGCAGUACCACCCAUGACAGUGUACUGCUCCACACUGCUGACAGUGUUGAAGACCUGGGAGACAUCGCUGGCAAACAGGGGGCUAGGGAAGCAAAGAGAAGAGGUAUCAGUGGGGAAUGAUGGGCACUGCUUGAUGGCUUUAUUCUGCCUGUGGAGAGGAUAAAGGAGUGGAGGCUGAUCCUUUUUUCAAGGAAGAAAGCCUCAUGAAGCUCUGCUUCUGCACUUCUAGUGCCUGACAGGAGCAGUUAAUGACAUUCCAAAGACAAAGCUGCAAGAGCAGAGGGAGGAAGUCUGAAGCCAAACUCCUCUACAGUGCUGGUGCCUCCAGGUCAAGGCAUGAAUUUCUCCAUACCCUUCUAGUACCUGUGGCCCAUACCCUGCUCAAGUCAAAAGGCAGCACUGUUGUCUUCCUCACCAAACUUCAGUUGGUACAAGCUUGGCAUUAGCAGCAAUAGUAUACGGACCAGGAAGAAUUUUGCAGUGCCAUCAAGCCCAGGGUAUACACAGAAAGGGAUCACGAGGAAGCCAGGCUGACAACUGUCUUUUGAGCGGAUCUAUGGUAAUGUGGUACAAACCUGAUGCUCUUCAGGUCCUCCAGGGUGAGAUUAUUGAUGGUGAUGCCUUUAGUCUCAGCAAGGUGGACGGCCUUCCCAGAAGCAGUUUGGGCUUGUCUGAUCGGCAUCUACAACAAGAAGCAAAGAGCACAAUCAAGUAACCAGAGAGGAGAGGCAGAGUGAGAUGUUAUCAUCUGCUGCUUGUUGGGGACACACCGGGGACCAAAGAAUGGACUUCAUCAAGGAGGGACCAGGCUCUCCAAGGAUUUUCUGCCCAAGUGUAUCUGAGCUGCUUGUAGUGGGAGCCCUAACAAGCAGUAGGAGUGAGCAAGUCAUCAUGUUAGGACCAGACUAGAUCUUGUAUCUGUACUACAUUUAAACUGUGUCCUCCAACCUCAUUCAGUAAUGAGAAGCUGAAGCCUCACCUGGAGGGUAGAAAUCACUCCAGUGGCAACCUGGAGCACAGCAGUCAGAGUGUCCACAACAUCAAGGACAGCUUCCUUAUCCUCCUGAGUGAGAGCAUAGAUGGAAAUUGCUGUUAGAUGACCUGAUGCAGCCCCAGUUUUAUCAUCUUGCACACAAGCUGUACUUGUGCAAUAAAUGUAGUGCAAGAGACUCCUGCAGAGAAUAAGACAACUGUGUCUCUUCAAAGAACAGGAGUGGAAGCUAAUAUCUGCUUUACCUGCAGAUCCUUGCUGAAGGUGCUUGGAAUUCCUUUGAGAACCAUGAGAAUAGCAGCCAACUGCAGAGAGAAACAGGCUCACCCGUCCAAACACACGACCAGCUUUGCUGCGGAUCAGUUCCAGGCUAUCAGGGUUUUUCUUCUGAGGCAACAGGCUGCUGCCAGUGCUGGAAGAAAGGAAUUGGAAGUGGAAUGGAUACAAUGAGGAAGGAGGAAUGUCUCUCUGAUGUGGGCUGUGAGGAAAGAGAGGCUAUUCCCUGUGCUAUCACACAGUGCCUGACUGUAACUUCUGCAGCAGAAGAUGUUGUUGUUGCUGUGAUUGUUGUCAGCUAAAGAGCAAGUCUAGAAGUCUCCUGUCCCAAGAAGGCUGUGACUAUGGACGUGUUAAAGGACUCACAUGGCAGCGCGCUCCACCAGGGUCUUGAUGAGCUGCAGCAGUCUGCAGCUUUCCAGCUAUAUCCCCAAUCAGCUCCUGAGGACAAGAGAAUAACGUCUGUCAGUGCCUCUAUUCUGAGCAAGAGAUUAAUGCAAGAGCAGAUAUCCUGCCACUCAAGCAAGGGGUU